CCUGCCCCUAGAGGUACUGCAGCUGUGGCAGCUGUGUCACAUGAGCAUCAGCAGGUGGCAGAGAGGAGAGAGGCUACCUUACUCUCAGUGUUCCGACCUGCGAACGUCUGAAUGGCAAGUAGAAUAACAAU